UUUUAGCUCCAGAUUGAUUGCAAGAACAAAUCAGCAAUCCCGAGAGGACCCACAGACCGUCUUAAUGAAGAGGACUGCUCCUUCAAGACCCGGGAGACCCCCUGCAAAACUGUCCUUGAACUCCAACUCCUCUGGAUCCUUCAGGUCCCAAAGCAGACACCACUCAUUGUGAGAAGCCUUCCAUAUCAUCCCUCCCCAGGCCAGAUGAGAAUCAAAUUCUAAAUUGGCACAAUUCUAAGUCAGAGUGCAAUAAAAUCUUCCCACCACUCAGAAUCAGCUGAGCAAAACACAAGACGGCAGAUUGGAAGAGGCCAUUCAAACGAGAGGCAGACAGAGGCUCCAGAGAGUGCUGCAUCUACGGCGCACACCACUCAUGCCUCGCCCGCCACUCAUCCUAGCUCCUUCUGGCGUGGGGUCAAGCCAGGAGCACAGUGCUGGUUCUAGUCCAGUGCCAUCCAAUAGAAACAGAAUGAAAGCAUAUAUAAUUUUCAAUUUUCUAUUAGCUACAUUAAAAAGAAUAAAAUGAAACAUGAUGAAUUAAUCUCAGAAAUAUAUUUUGUUUCAAUGAAUAUAACCAAAAUAUUACCAUUUCAAUAGAUAAUCAACGUAAAAAUUAUUAAUGGGAUAUUUUACAUUUUUUUCUUACUAAGUCUUCGAAAUGCGGUGUGCCUUUACACUUCCAGCACAUGGCCAUUGGAACUAGCAUUUGAUGUGCUAAGUAGCCAUGUGGGGCCCACAGCUCCUCUGGUGGACCGCAUGGAUCUAGACAAUCACCUAUCUUCAGGCCCAUCCAUCCUCCACCUCUGCCCAUAUUCACUUGUACUUGGUUUUAUCUUUCUGGUUCUAGAUUCCCGCUCCAACCCCACCACUCUCCCCUUAGCUGUAGCCCCCCUCCACUCUCAAAAUUCCCAACUACCAUACUGACUUGUCAUUGUUGUCCAUCAGUUUUACUGUGUGGCCUCUAUGUCUACUCACCCUCUUUUACCUCUUGUGAAAACUUCUGACUCUUGUUCCUAUAGAAAUUCCAUGUGGGAUAGGACAGAUGGAGGGAUUUAGAUCUAUGAGGGCAAAAUUUUCUUAGUUGUUAAAAAAAGAGCAAUUUAAUAAAAUCUAAAUUUAGAGCAACUACAAAGAAGAUAAUAGAGCAUUCUUUGUGAUUAACAUAAAUACAGUCAUUCAGAUUUCAAGCUAUGAGAAACUAAAGGAGAGAGGAGGUAAGUAAGAGAGCCAAGCUGACAAAACAGGACUGGGGACAGGUGGGUCCAGGAAGAAAGGGUUCCUGUAGUCACCCCUGGCUUACACCCUCACCACCUUUCUAGAGAAGAAAAUGGAAAUUAAUAUCAGAAUCACACUGUGUUGUAUUUUUAUUUUGUCAUAUAUGUAAUUGUGCAAGUUAACCAGAUAUUUCACAGUAUAAAUUUCAUCAUUCCCAAGGAAACAUUUUGCUGUUUUUAUAAAGUUACAAGUAGACAGACCCUGGCAGAUGGUUUUGAAGACAGAAAAUCGGACAAGGCAUGGGGAAUGAGGUGGGACAGUGUGCAAUUAAUAAUUACAGUCAACUUUCUGGUGCCCAGAGUGGAAUAUCAGGUGUGUUACAACCUUCUCAGAAGGUUGGCUUGACAAGGCUUAAUCUUUUCUAAGAUUUAUUUAUUCAACAAUGUUCUAAGGAUUUAUUUUGUAUCAGGCCCUGAGCCAAAGCCUAAUAAGAUCAUAAGAUAAUUUUAAGGGCCAUCAGGUAGUUGUUAUCUGUAGGGCU